UAAUUAGAGAGUUUGAUCCUGGCUCAGGACGAACGCUGGCGGCGUGCUUAACACAUGCAAGUCGAACGGAGAUAAUAGCAAUAUUAUCUUAGUGGCGGACGGGUGAGUAACGCGUGGGUAACCUGCCUUUCACAGGGGGAUAACACAGGGAAACUUGUGCUAAUACCGCAUAACAUAGAGAAGUGACAUCACUUUUUUAUCAAAGGAGCAAUCCGGUGAAAGAUGGACCCGCGUCCGAUUAGCUAGUUGGUGAGGUAACGGCCCACCAAGGCGACGAUCGGUAGCCGAACUGAGAGGUUGAUCGGCCACAUUGGGACUGAGACACGGCCCAGACUCCUACGGGAGGCAGCAGUGGGGAAUAUUGCACAAUGGGGGAAACCCUGAUGCAGCAACGCCGCGU
rnacentral:rRNA from 1 species